UACAGAGGUCUCAAGCGUUGUCCGGAUUGACUGGGCGUAAAGCGCACGCAGGCGGACGCGCGCGUGGGGUGUGAAAUCUGGCCGCUUAACGGCCAGGCGCCAUCCCAUACGGCGCGUCUGGAGCCAUGCAGAGGGCGGUGGAAUUGCCGGUGUAGUGGUGAAAUGCGUAGAGAUCGGCAGGAACACCCAGGGGGAAACCAGCCGCCUGGGCAUGCGCUGACGCUGAGGUGCGAGAGCGUGGGGAGCGAACCGG
rnacentral:rRNA from 1 species